rnacentral:lncRNA from 1 species
AUGUACGAGUGAUCCAAAAUACCGUAGUUCAACUUCAAGACAAUUGACCCAAAAGCAAACCGAGUGGAGCUGGCCAUUUCAACAGUGGGUGCCAAAGCAACCCAGGUUUGUUUACGAAAGAACGGACCUGCCGGGCCUAUGUCAGGCCCAUUGUCGUUUCGACCUUGGGACGGGUCCACGCUUCUAAACCAAAUGCACUCUCAAUAAUUAAACUUACAAACUUGAAUCGAUCUAUCUAACACGAGUUCAAUGAUGUAAUGCAAUAUGGCAACAUAAGCAGUUAACUAAAGUCAUGCUUAUUUCGUCAUUUGAAUUUCAAUUUCGUGACCCAAUUGUUUUGCUUACUUGCCUCCUGAUAAUUUUCAGAUAAUGCUAAGGUAAAAAAAAACACAAACAAUGAUUUAUUAGCACCUAACACUAAUUUUUCGAUUCCCUUUUAUUUGUUAUUACAAGAAGAACACAUCAAUACUAUUUGAUUCCUGCUUGAAUACUUUUGAACAAAUUGAGAAAACUUAGGAAUUGACCAAUUAACUGGAAUCUAUUCCAUUAUUUCAGUAUAGAACUGUAAUCAACCUAAACAAACUCAUAUGACUCUUUAAGUAUGCAAACGAUCACUUAAGAGGUCAAAUGAACAGAUUCACGCUUAACAAUUCCUCAAUUCCACACAGUCCAUCACAAGUUAACAAUUCAGUUGAUUUAAUACAAAUAAACUACAUAAUGAACUCGUCCAAAUGAAAUUCUAAAGUAAACUAUAAUGGAAAUGACUAAAAAAAAAUAACAGCUUCAAUGAAGAUCAAACAACAGCCGGAUUUUCAUUUCAUGGAAGAAUUACACCAAAUCAGUUCCGAAUGUGUUACCUGGAAGCAGAAAUUCAACAACAAGAAGAAGAGAUCAGCAACAAAACGAGCAGCAAUCAUAUAAUAGCCCAGAGAUAUUUUUGAUAAUACAGGAAGAGUUCAGGGGAACAAAUAGAAUCGAGAUAUCAAAUCAGCAACACUUGAAUGCACCCAAUUGAAUCCAAAAUUGAACCCAGGACUUUCAGAAGGCCAGUCACACAACCAGAAUGGUUAAACAGUACCAAACAAGCUCGAGAUUGAACCACAGACCUCAGAAACUUUCCAGCAACCCAAAACUUCACAAAAAAAAUAGUUUAAGCAGAUCAAAUUCACGUGAAGUCGAACCAGCGACAAUAUGAAGUUUCCACAAACAAGUACUGAACUAGGAAAAUGAUAAUUACUAAUUGAAAGCUGAAAUUAACCUAAAGUAUCUAAUGGAAAGUAUAUUUUUGGUUUUUUGAAGAGUUAUUGUUGUUUUUUGGUUUUUCUGAAAAUCACUACUGUUUUUGUUUUUGAUUUUUAAAGAUUUUGGAGUUUUGAUCUCAAGUUUCAGUUCUGAAACUUGCAGAAAAGGGGAGGGGCUUUUGUGAGACUCCAAAACUUGUAUUCUAAGGCACUAAUGAUGCCUUUUUAUAGGCCUAAGGGAGGGCAGCCCUCAAUUUUCAGUUUUCCUUUUAGUCCCUCCUAAUUUUCAGUUUAGUCCCUCUAUUCUUGACUUUCUAAACAAGUAAAUACAUCUAACUUGCUGAAAUCUACACUUGCACCCUAUUCUAGAAGUCUCUAAGAUGCUCUUUUAGCAAGGCAAUUUCUACACUACUCUUUCCUUGUUUUAGAAUUACUAUUAUUAAAAAAACUACCCUUUUCUAUCCCCAAAAUGCCCUUGGGUUCUAUUCUUAAUUACCUAGCCUACAGACCCCUUUCACCCCAGUUACAAUCUACCUAAAGUUAAUUAACCAAUGAAUUUUUCAACUAUAUCCAAACCACCUAUCUUAAGCCUACACCAAUUAAGACUAAAACUGGAUGAACUAUUAAUACUAAUUGAAAUCAGUUCCAAAAAACUUCCAAAUUCAACUUUAAUAAACAUACCAAAAAUCAGUUUGAUUAUACCAACGACCAGAUGUCAAUUAAGCAUUCUAAAUCAAAACAAAAGAAAAAUUGAAAUUAACCUAAACCUAUAGCUAACAAUUAACAGACAGAAUUGUAUCGACCCAAACUAAUAGAUUAAGAUGAUUCUAAAACUAGGCUAUGAUUAACUAACAAAUCGAGACAUGAUUUAAAUAUGAAAUUAACACUAUGCAGGGCUUAUUGAAUAAAUGAAUCGAAAGCGAUAUUAAAAUCAGAAUUAACCAUGAACAACCAUACAGAAAUCGCCUCAUUGAACGGAGAAGAAGGAGAAGAAAGCAAUGAACUAUUCUACAAUAAUUAAUUCAGAAUACUAAAGAAAACUUACUGAAUGAAGCACUCGACCAAGAAAAAUCCCUUAAAACAGGUUCAUCCUCUAAGAACCCUAGACCCGCAACUCAAGUCCGUCUGCUUGGAUUUGAGUGAUUCUGAGCGUGAAAUAGCAAUGAGGAAGGAAGACGGUCGCCUGGUAUGAUUUUGGAUUCAUUUGGGCCAACUCGCGACUUGACCGGAAAAUCUUUGAUGGCAAAUUCGACGAGAUUGGUUGUGAUUCGAAGGACUUCGAGCAUGGGGAUGGAAAGAGGGGAAAGAGAUGAUUAUGUGGUGAAAAUUUUGGGGUGUUUGGAGCUUCACUGCCGGUGGCGUUGGGCGGAACCGGCGAUGGAGAUUGAGAGGGUGCAAGGAUGUACGAGGAAGAGAGAUGUUUGUCUCUAAUGUUUGACUAUAUUUCAGACACUUAAAUGUUAG